AUGCAAGUCGAGCGCGAACCCGCAAGGGGGAGAGCGGCAAACGGGGUAGUAACGGGUAGGUGACGUACCCUCGGGUCGGGGAUAGCCACGGGAAACUGUGGGUAAUACCCGAUAAUCUCUUGGAGCGUGAUGGUUUCGAGAGCAAAGGUGUGAUUCCACCGGAGGAGCGGCCUGCUUCGUAUUAGCUUGUUGGUGAGGUAACGGCUCACCAAGGCAUCGAUGCGUAGGGGGUGUGAGAGCAUGACCCCCACCACUGGGACUGAGAUACUGCCCAGACACCUACGGGUGGCUGCAGUCGAGAAUCUUCGGCAAUGGGCGCAAGCCUGACCGAGCGACGCCGCGUGUGGGAUGAAGGCCCUUGGGUUGUAAACCACUGUCAGAGGGGAUGAAGUGCAUGAGGGCAAUCUCUCAUGUUUGACAUAGCCUCAGAGGAAGCACGGGCUAAGUUCGUGCCAGCAGCCGCGGUAAUACGAACUGUGCGAACGUUAUUCGGAAUCACUGGGCUUACAGGGUGCGUAGGCGGCUUGUUAAGUAGGGUGUGAAAGCCCCCGGCUCAACCGGGGAAUUGCGCCCUAAACUGGCGAGCUGGAGUGAGAUAGGGGUGUGUGGAACUUCCGGUGGAGCGGUGAAAUGUGUUGAUAUCG
rnacentral:rRNA from 1 species